AUGCAGACGGCCCGCCGGAGGCCCGCUCGACUGGCCCUUCCAGUACGAGGAGGCGCACCCGCUGCUCGCCUGGAUCUGCUCAUGCCUCCGCCCCUCCAACAUCCUCUCCCCGUCCCACCUCUCGCAGUGAGCCCCGAAUACCCCGCCCCCUUCUCCUCCCCCAACCUGCUUCUUUCCUCUCUCUACUACCGCAACAACUUUCUUGGUUUCAUUUGGUUUCUACUGCUGGCGAGGGCGGUCACGCUGCUGAGGCCAGAGUGCGCUUGUUCGGGUUGUGGUUCUACUCGUCGACCUGCGGUUUGA
rnacentral:rRNA from 1 species